GUUCUUAUGAGAAUCUAAUACCUAUUGAUCUGUCACUUUCUCCCAUCACGCUCAGGUGGGACCAUCCAGUUUCAGGAAAACAAGCUUAACAUGCCCACUGAUUCUACAUUAUGCUCCUACCUCCCGGCAGCCUUGCCAGGCCCAGAACUCUCUCCAGUCAGCCUCUACAGACCAAGCUCAUGACUCACAAUGGCCUAUUUAGGCCCAUACCCUACCUCACGGCAGUCUCCGCAGAUGAGCCUACUGCCUCACAACAGCCUCCACAGGCACAGCUCCAUCGUUACAAUGGCCUCUUUAGACCCAGCUCCUGCCUCCCAGCCUUCUCUCCAGGCCCUGAACUUUCUCCGGUCUCCCUCUGUUGUCCGAGGCUGGAGGGUAGUAGUGCUAUCGCAGCUGACUGCAGCCUCAACCUUCCAGGCUGAAGCGAUCCUCCCAUCUCAACCUCCCACGUGGCUGAGACUACAGGUGCUUGCCACUACGCCCAACUAAUAUUUGGUAUUUUCGUACACGUGGAUUCCAGAGGGGUGACAGCGAAACGUGAGUGGGACCAUCCAGUUUCAGGAAAACAAGCUUAACACGCCCACUGAUUCUACAUUAUGAUUCUUCAGGCCCAGCAUCUGCCUCACUGUGGACUCCCCAAGCCAAGCUCCCAACCUUUCAGCAGCUUCUACACACCCAGCUCCCGCCUGCCAGUGGCCUCUUCAGGCCCAUGGGGCUCAUUCCUCACAACAGCCUUUCCAGUCCCAGUUUUUCCCUUCCGGCGGCCUCUCCGGGCUGAGAACCUCCUCAAGUCGGCCUCUCCAGACUCACUUGCACCCUCCAGGCGUCCUCUCCGGGCCAAGCUCCUCUUCCUGGCUGCGUCUCCAGGCCUGACUCCUGCCUCUCAACAACCUCUUUGGACUCAGUGCCUACCCAUCUCCUGGCGUCCUUGGUCGGCCCACAGCUUCCUCAAGCCAAGCUCCCCAGGCCCAGGUCAGGCCUCACGGUGCCCCCUCCACGAUGAGCUCCUGCCCUCCAAUGGCACCUGCAGGCCCCAAAUGGUCUCCGGUCGGUGGGCUCCUCCACGCCAAGCUUGGGCCUCCCGGUGACCUCUGCAGGCCCAAGUUGUCCUGAAGUCGGCAUCUCCCAGCCAUGCCUCCCAGCAAGUAAGCAAGCUCUUUUGGCUCAACUCCUGCCCAGCUCCCAACCGCCUUUGUAGGUCCCGAACUUUCUCCAGCCAAGUUCUUUGGGCCUCAUUCCUGCCGCCCGGUGGCCUGUACGGGCCCAGCAAUGGUUGGAGAACGGCCUCUGCAGGUCCCGCUCUUGCCUCCCAGGGGCCUCUCCAGGCCCAGCUCUUGCCCCCACGGCGGCCACCUGGG